rnacentral:rRNA from 1 species
UGGGGAAUAUUGGACAAUGGGCGAAAGCCUGAUCCAGCAAUGCCGCGUGUGUGAAGAAGGCCUGCGGGUUGUAAAGCACUUUCAGUGGGAAAGAAAAGCGGGGUGUUAAUACCAUCCCGUCUUGACGUUACUCACAGAAGAAGCACCGGCUAACUCCGUGCCAGCAGCCGCGGUAAUACGGAGGGUGCAAGCGUUAAUCGGAAUCACUGGGCGUAAAGCGCACGUAGGCGGCACGAUCAGUCCGCUGUGAAAUCCCCGGGCUUAACCUGGGAACUGCAGUGGAUACUGUCGCGCUAGAGUGUGAGAGAGGGGGGUGGAAUUCCAGGUGUAGCGGUGAAAUGCGUAGAGAUCUGGAGGAACACCAGUGGCGAAGGCGGCCCCCUGGUUCAACACUGACGCU